rnacentral:rRNA from 1 species
UGGGGAAUUUUCCGCAAUGGGCGAGAGCCUGACGGAGCAAUACCGCGUGAGGGAGGAAUGCCUUUGGGUUGUAAACCUCUUUUCUCAGGGAAGAAGAUCUGACGGUACCUGAGGAAUAAGUAUCGGCUAACUCCGUGCCAGCAGCCGCGGUAAUACGGAGGAUGAAAGCGUUAUCCGGAAUCAUUGGGCGUAAAGCGUCCGCAGGUGGUUUCCAAAGUCUGCUGUUAAAGACUGGAGCUCAACUCCGGAACGGCGGUGGAAACUUGGAAACUAGAGUUCGGUAGGGGUAGCAGGAAUUCCCAGUGUAGCGGUGAAAUGCGUAGAUAUUGGGAAGAACAUCGGUGGCGAAGGCGUGCUACUGGACCGUAACUGACACUCAGGGACGAAAGCUAGGGAGCGAAAGGGAUUAGAUACCCCUGUAGUCCUAGCUGUAAACGAUGGAAACUAGGUGUGGCUUGA